CCCUUAGAUGUUCUGGGCCGCACGCGUGCUACACUGAGUGGAUCAGCGGGUCAGGUUGCGCGAAAGUGUUUCCUAAUCUUGAAAUCCGCUCGUGAUGGGGAUUGACGGUUGCAAUUUUCCGUCAUGAACGAGGAAUACCUUGUAAGCGCGGGUCAUCAUCCCGCGCUGAAUACGUCCCUGCCCUUUGUACACACCGCCCGUCGCUACUACCGAUUGAACGGUUUAGUGAGGGCCUCGGAUUGGUCUCGGCCCGCUCUUUACCGGGCGGCGCCGUUGGUCGAGAAGACGCUCGAACUUGAUCGUUUAGAGGAAGUAAAAGUCGUAACA
rnacentral:rRNA from 1 species